CCGAGGGUCUAUUGGAAACAGCAUCUCUACCCUAGAGUAGAGAGGAGCCUUCCUUCAGCCGCUGGAUCUGGAUCUAGUAAAACCACAGCAGCUGGAUGGGCAGCAUUUUGAAAUUUUAAGCGUAUGUUUAAUAUGGCCGAGAUAGUGAGAUAUAUGCUUGCUGUUAUACUAGGAUAGAAAACUAUAUAUCCAAACUAAAAGGGCAAAGUAGUGCACUAAGCUUCAGCUAUGCACAAGGUUCAGGGAAGGGCUAGAUCAUAUUUGGUCUAUUGUACAAACCUUAUCUUGUAUUUUUGCAAGAGAUUAUUUUCACGGCUUGAAUCUGGCGGCAACUCUGACGGUUGCACCGAGGCUUCCCACGUUAAGAGAAUGAAAGAAAAAUUUCAUGUGUGUUUCCUCAGUUCCUUGGAAGAUAAAGUGUGAUGGAGUGCAUUUAAUUUAAACUUGCUUAACCUGUUUGAAUUGUACUUUUGUUCUACAUCUAAUAAAGAUUUUUUUUUUUU